UGGGAAACUGCCUGAUGGAGGGGGAUAACUACUGGAAACGGUAGCUAAUACCGCAUAACGUCGCAAGACCAAAGAGGGGGACCUUCGGGCCUCUUGCCAUCGGAUGUGCCCAGAUGGGAUUAGCUAGUAGGUGGGGUAACGGCUCACCUAGGCGACGAUCCCUAGCUGGUCUGAGAGGAUGACCAGCCACACUGGAACUGAGACACGGUCCAGACUCCUACGGGAGGCAGCAGUGGGGAAUAUUGCACAAUGGGCGCAAGCCUGAUGCAGCCAUGCCGCGUGUAUGAAGAAGGCCUUCGGGUUGUAAAGUACUUUCAGCGGGGAGGAAG
rnacentral:rRNA from 1 species